rnacentral:RNase_P_RNA from 1 species
GUGUGUUGGUGUGUGGCUAUCGCCCCUUUAGGGGUGAGGAAACUCCGCCCACACGCAGAAGUGCAGUGCCCUCAGGGUACAGACCGAGAGGUUUGGCAACGGAGCAGAAACGAAACGUCCACCCAGAUAUGGCUAUGACGCAUUUGUGAUGCAGAGUCCGCUGGAUUGGAAGCGGUGAAACGGCCGUCCUGCAUGUGGAAAGGGCAAACAGUCGCCGAUGAAGCAUCUGCCGGAAGGCGCAGGUAGCCCGAUUAGCCGAAUGCCACAGACAACAGAAGGCGGGUUACGGCCAGUACAC